GACGAACGCUGGCGGCGUGCCUAAUACAUGCAAGUUGAGCGCUGAAGGUUGGUACUUGUACCAACUGGAUGAGCAGCGAACGGGUGAGUAACGCGUGGGGAAUCUGCCUUUGAGCGGGGGACAACAUUUGGAAACGAAUGCUAAUACCGCAUAAAAACUUUAAACACAAGUUUUAAGUUUGAAAGAUGCAAUUGCAUCACUCAAAGAUGAUCCCGCGUUGUAUUAGCUAGUUGGUGAGGUAAAGGCUCACCAAGGCGAUGAUACAUAGCCGACCUGAGAGGGUGAUCGGCCACAGUGGGACUGAGACACGGCCCAAACGCCUACGGGAGGCAGCAGUAGGGAAGCUUCGGCAAUGGACGAAAGGCUGACCGAGCAACGCCGCGUGAGUGAAGAAGGGUGUCGGAUCGUAAAACUCUGUUGGUAGAGAAGAACGUUGGUGAGAGUGGAAAGCUCAUCAAGUGACGGUAACUACCCAGAAAGGGACGGCUAACUACGUG
rnacentral:rRNA from 1 species